UGCAAGGAACCCAGACAGGCGAGGCAAGAUGUUAGUUCAUUCAUUCCUCCACGCCCCAGCGGCACAGGGAGCACGACCUGGGGGGGACACUAACGGGGGGUGGAGGACAGCCGGGCACGCAGGAGUCUGGACUGCAUCCCCAGCUGGAGCCUCGGCGCUGUCUUCUCAGAACUGCAUGACGCUGACCCCUCUGAACCUUCGUCCCUCGUCAGUGAAAGACACAAAUUAGCGCCGCUGCGAGAACCGAGCGGCCGACGGCCUGAGAAAAGAGCCGGCGAGGUUAUGGCGAAUCUGCGGCAUCCAACAUGGCGGAUGGAGUCUUCGCCCUCCUCUUCACGGGGCGCUGACGCCGGCGUAGCGGACGUCAGCCUCGGGUGACCCUCCCCCAGCGCCGAGAGCAUCUAGGCUGGGCGGCCUAGUGCGCAUGCUCCAGCCCGGAGGCCGCGCUCUACAUCCCGCUCCGCUGGUUCCACCGCUCCACUUUUUGAGCCACUCCGGGAAAGCGCUAACGAGAGGCCUGGAAUACGGAUCGCAGGAUUGGGAGUCUUCCCGUUUCGGCCGGGAGCCGGCAGAUCUACCCGCCUGCGCAUCCUUGGACUCCCCGGGCUAAAUGUGCAAGAAUUCUGGGUUCCUGUCCCAGUUCUGUUCUUUACUAACUAAUCUGGGGCAGCGAUUUAACUUUCUCUGGGCUCAGUUUACUGAUUUGUCAGUCGCGGUGGUGACAGCCUGCCUCCCUCCAUCUCGAGGGCUGCAGACUUUCCCCGAAGCGGGAUGCUCUCCAUCGAGUCUGGGUCGUUCAGCCAGAAUUCAGCAGCCUGGAGCCACCUGGAGAAAGGGGACGCCUUCCGUCCUGACUGUCCUGCAGAAAGUUCCAGCUGCGCCUGAGCCCGCCUCUCCAACGCCGGAGCUCAGCCUUCUGCAGGGAGCGUGUCUGCUUGAGAUGGGGUGACCUUGUUAGUUUUCGUUGUGAAGGGGAUCCUCUCUGCCACUUCCUUCAGAUCUCAGCUCUACUAACAUCUCCAAGGGGGCCCUCCCGCACCACCCCAUCCAGAGUAACCCUGCUAAGUCCCUUUUCUGUUGUUAUCUGCACAGUAUCUGUUAGCACCUGACAUGAAUUUAUCUCCCUCUCGUCUUGGUCACUCCUGUGGCCCCAGAAACUAGAAAUGAGCCUGACAGUUAUUUAUCGAAUAAAUUAGUUUCGUGGACUUUGAA